CGGGACGGGUGAGUAAUGUCUGGGAAACUGCCUGAUGGAGGGGGAUAACUACUGGAAACGGUAGCUAAUACCGCAUAACGUCGCAAGACCAAAGAGGGGGACCUUCGGGCCUCUUGCAUCGGAUGUGCCCAGAUGGGAUUAGCUAGUAGGUGGGGUAACGGCUCACCUAGGCGACGAUCCCUAGCUGGUCUGAGAGGAUGACCAGCCACACUGGAACUGAGACACGGUCCAG
rnacentral:rRNA from 1 species